AUACAGAGAGGACUUGGGGCCAGUCUGAUUCUUCCUUCUCCUAUUCCAGAGAAAGAGGAAAAGAUCCUCUUCUAUUUCUUUGUCAUCUUUCCUCCUCCCUACCUCCUGAAAGAGUUCAGUUCCACAAACAUUGCUUGAACACAGACCAUGUUCUAGGAAGUAAGCUGGAAAAACAGAAGAAAACUCUGCAUGCUACAUUUUGGCCCAAACUCAUUAACUCACCCCAUUUGCUCCAGGGCCAGCUUAACGAAGACAAAUUGAAAGGCAAACUGAGAUCUUUAGAAAACCAGCUGUACACCUGUACCCAGAACUACUCGCCUUGGGGAAUGAAAAAGGUGUUAUUGGAGAUGGAAGACCAGAAAAACAGCUAUGAGCAGAAGGCCAAGGAGUCACUGCAGAAAGUGCUGGAGGAGAAAAUGAGCACGGAGCAGCAACUGCAGAGCACACAGCGGUCCCUGGUUCUGGCUGAGCAGAAGUGUGAAGAGUGGAGGAGCCAGUACGAGGCUCUGAAGGAGGACUGGAGGAACCUGGGAACCCAGCAUAGAGAGCUGGAGAGCCAACUCCAUGUGCUUCAGUCCAAACUGCAGGGAGCAGACAGUAGAGACCUACAGAUGAACCAGGCUCUGCGACUUCUGGAGAAUGAGCACCAGGAACUGCAGGCCAAGAUUGAACACCUGCAGGGGGACAGAGACCUGUACAGCUCGGAUACCCAGCACCUUCAAGAUCAACUGAAGAGGUCAGAGGAGGAGAAACUCGCCCUGGUGGCCAAAGUACAGCAGCUGCAGAGUCUGCUCCAGAAUAAAUCCUUACAGCUUCAAGAACAGGAGAAACUCUUAACAAAGAAAGAUCAGGCUUUGCCUGUGUGGAGUCCAAAGCCCUCCCAUAAUGAAGUGGAACCUGAGGGUACAGGGAAGGAGAAAGAAUGGGAUUUCAGAGACCAGCUGCAAAAGAAGACUUUGCAGCUCCAGGCCAAGGAAAAAGAGACUCGGAAACAUACAUAUCCCCAGAAGUAUUCACAUGCAACUCAACUAUAUCCUGGUGAAGAUGCUUGUACUAAGAUCACCCCCAGGUCUUUUGUCCUAGAAGAACUUCAUUUUUUGGUGCCCCCAUUUAUAAAGCUCUUGCACAUUCACAAUCACGUGAGAGCACUGACAUGUAUAAUAUGUAAUAUUAUAAUAUGCAUUAUAAUCAAUCAUUUAAAUGAACACAUUCCAGACAACUAGGUAAGACAGUCAAAAGGCAAACUGAAACCUCUGAGAAAGGCUGGGAAGGGAGGAUGGUGGUAAAAAUUCCAAAUCAAUGAAGGGGUAACUCACACGGGGCCCUCGCCCUGACCUGGUCUCUGUCCCAGAAGGAACUGGUAGUGAUGACGUUGGUGGUAUUCUCCCCCCAGUGCAGAGAACUGCAUUCGGAGUUAGACAACCUCAGUGACGAGUAUCUGUCCUGCCUACGUAAGCUGCAGCACUGUCGAGAAGAGCUGAACCAGAGCCAACAGUCGCCUCCCAGAAGGCAAUGUGGCCGAUGGCUCUCGAUGCUGAUGAUAAUGAUUGCUAUCGCACUGGCAGUGUUCCUGGCCAACAAGGACAGCCUGAUGAUCUGACUCACUUGUGACAGCUGCUUGGGUGAAAAUCUGAAGCAAGAAACUCAAUAAAAAACUCAGCAGGCUGACAUACUUUAAAGUGUGGGUUUUCCCACCUGAGAUUUCUGACUUUAUUUUUUUAAUCUACUGUAAAAUAAACAAA